rnacentral:lncRNA from 10 species
CAAUGAAUAACAGAAUGGUAAGGGAUGCUCCACCAUAAGAACACUCACUAUUGUGAAAAUUUACAGGAUUUGUAAAAUCUUCUCAUCAACAGAUGGAAUCUGAAAUGACCGUGCAGCUUGUUUGACCGUCAGAAGGCAGUGAAAGUGAUAUUGUUCUGAGCUUCAUCAUGCCUUGCAAACUCUCCACUUUCUCUUGAAAUACCUUCCAAUCACCAUGUUAACAAGCCCAAGCUAGUCUGCUGGAUGAUGAGAGACAUGUGUCUCCAUCACCUCAACUCUCCUUUUCACCCCCUCACUCUGUCACUCAAGUACGGGCAAUCAACCCCCCGAAGCAGAGCCACCUAACCAAAUAAAAAUUAACCAAGAUACAUGAGGGAGCCCAGGCAAGAACAAAACAGCCCCACUGAGCCCAACCUAAACUACCAACCAAGAGAAUCAUGAACUGACAACAUAGCUGCUAUUUUAAAGACAAUGAUUUUGGGGGUGCAGCAAAACGAAACUGACAUAGAAAGGAGUUUUUUGCCAUUGUUUUGUCAUUAUGGUUAUUUGUUUUAAUAUGGGAGAUAAUGUAGCAUGUUUGCUUGUGGGAAUAAUUCAGCAAGAGGAAAAAAUAAUGGUGAUCAGAGAGGAGACCAUUUUAAAAGCAAUAUUUUGAGUAGGAUAGGAAAUGUGAGUUUCAGUCCACUGGUAGGAAUUUUGGCCUUAUAUGGAAGCAUAGAUAAAUAGCAUGUGCAAAGAGGAGAUGACAGAGUGCCAUGUACACUAUAUGUAAGUGCUCAAUGAACACAAAUCAAUAUGUUUAAAUGAUAUGGCUAUCCUUGGAAACAUUAAUUACAGACCUAAAUUUUAAAGUAAGUUUUUCUGGUCUCAAAGCCCUUUCUAAAAUAACUGCCAGGGAUCUUUUUUUUGCUUUAUGUAGAAUUAUUUUCUUAAUUAUCUCCAUAUAUCCAAAUCCCAUCCAUUAUUUGAAAAUAAGUAUCACCUUUCCAUGAACUCUUCCUUCAUAUUCCCAUCUUAAAGCAAUCUGUCAUUCCUAAUACAACUAAGGCCCAUAAUAAUUGUAUCUCAGUGUUUUCAAAUACACUUACAAAUUUCUUACUUGUCUUAUAAUUAUAUGGAUUAAUAGAAA